rnacentral:snoRNA from 1 species
AUUCCAUGGUGAGGGCAAUUUUUAUCAUCAUAUUGAAACGCUCAAAUGCCUCGUGAAACAUCUCACCAUGUUGUUGUUGGAAGCUUCUCAACCCCUUUCUUGCGU